UUUUAGCUCUUUCAUCAGUUCAUUGGCUUUGAUGUUGGGCCUAAGUAAAUGGGAAAUCAUCAAUUGGCAUUGUUCAAGAUAUAAUUCUGUGUUUUUGGAUUUGUGAAACGAUUUGGCUUAUGAAGAUGGUGGGUUUUUUUUAUAUAGAUUGGGCUGAUCUAUCUUUCUUAAUAAAUUUCCCAUCUGUUUCAGGUAUAAAAUUUUCUCAUCUAUUUGCAAACAAGUUUUGAUUUUGUAUUAUUUAUAUUCCUGCCAUUGCCAAAAAGCAUGGGCUGCAGAGACAAAGAGAGGGAGAUAGGCGGGGGAUGGCAGGGAGGGGAAGGGAGAGGGAAGAGUGAGGUUGCCAUAAAGGAGGUUAAGGUUGAUCUUUUCUCCUCAAAUCAAGGGUUGGUGUCGGGAUUGAGGGAUGGGUUGAAAUUGCCACUAGAAGCCUAAAUUAAUGGGUAGCUAUCGGUGUUUGAGAGAUUGAUUUGAGAAGGAUGGGAGAGAGACAGAAACACACCCACUGCUUUCAUUUGUGUUUGAUUUCAGAUUUGCUCCAAUAUAUGUGCUUAGUAAUAUUUCUGCAAUUUGUGUUAUGCUUUCACUCCAAUACCUAUGUAGAUUAAUUUUUGUGCAAUUUUGGUGUUUGUGUUUCUGUCUUUAUGGGUCUUAUAUCGUUGAAAUCCUGUUCACUUAUUGUGUAUUGCUCAAAUACCUCUGUUGGCUUCUACAGAGAGGUUCGAGUUCUUUACCAAACUGAUGUCAUGUCAAUUCUAUCUUAUUUCUCUAAUGGUUUUGUUUAGUUCUUAUUAUCCCUUCACUGUAUUCAAAGAUCAAUUGUUGCUUAUUAGUGUUUGUGCAAAUUGGAUGGAACUGAUGUUUCUAUGUUUCUUCUUAGAUUCAACUGAUAUCAUGGUAAUUCUGCACUUGACCUCUAUAUUGUAUGUUAAUUUAUCAUCCUUUCACUUCCUGAGAGCCAAUUGUUGGAGCUUAGUACUCAAUCAGGUGAAUUCCAAAUGCAAGAUCCUCUAAUUUCAUUUUUUGCAGCAUAAUUCAGCUUCUCAGUUCAGUUCUCAGGUGUAGGUUAUCCUCAUGUUCUAGUUCCAUUAGGACUACCGGUGUUUAUUUUGGUUUCAUGUGUCUUUCUUCAGUUCUAAGUCCUUCGCAUGAAUGUGUACUGAAAUGUAAUGUAAAUAACUGGUAUGUGCUACGUCUCACUUUUCUAUUUAUAUGUUUUUGGAAUUUUCGGGUGAUGGAAAUCAACCUAAGUUCAUGUUAAAACGAUAUCAUAAUUUUCGUUAUGGUAAGAACUCAGAACUUGGAACCUUUUUUUUUCUUUAUCUUUCCCCUUUUUGAAGUUAAGGAAUUGAAUUACCUUUUUAUUCUUUUUUUGUGAUCAUUCACUGAUACUUGGUUCAUUCUCAUCUUCUGAGAUUGCUU
rnacentral:lncRNA from 1 species